rnacentral:rRNA from 1 species
AUGAACGCUGGCGGCGUGCUUAACACAUGCAAGUCGAACGAGCCUUCGGGCUAGUGGCGGACGGGUGAGUAACGCGUGGGAAUCUGCCCUCAGGAGGGGGAUAACGGCCGGAAACGGCCGCUAAUACCCCAUAUGCCGAGAGGUGAAACGAAUUUCGCCUGGGGAUGAGCCCGCGUCUGAUUAGCUAGUUGGUGAGGUAAUGGCUCACCAAGGCUUCGAUCAGUAGCUGGUCUGAGAGGAUGAUCAGCCACACUGGGACUGAGACACGGCCCAGACUCCUACGGGAGGCAGCAGUGGGGAAUUUUCCGCAAUGGGCGCAAGCCUGACGGAGCAACGCCGCGUGAGGGACGAAGGCCUCUGGGCUGUAAACCUCUUUUCUCAAGGAAGAAGACAUGACGGUACUUGAGGAAUAAGCCACGGCUAAUUCCGUGCCAGCAGCCGCGGUAAUACGGGAGUGGCAAGCGUUAUCCGGAAUUAUUGGGCGUAAAGCGUCCGCAGGCGGCCUUGUAAGUCUGUUGUUAAAGCGUGGAGCUCAACUCCAUUUAAGCAAUGGAAACUACAAGGCUAGAGUGUGGUAGGGGCAGAGGGAAUUCCCGGUGUAGCGGUGAAAUGCGUAGAUAUCGGGAAGAACACCAGUGGCGAAGGCGCUCUGCUGGGCCAUAACUGACGCUCAUGGACGAAAGCCAGGGGAGCGAAAGGGAUUAGAUACCCCUGUAGUCCUGGCCGUAAACGAUGAACACUAGGUGUCGGGAGAAUUAACCCUUCCGGUGUCGUAGCCAACGCGUUAAGUGUUCCGCCUGGGGAGUACGCACGCAAGUGUGAAACUCAAAGGAAUUGACGGGGGCCCGCACAAGCGGUGGAGUAUGUGGUUUAAUUCGAUGCAACGCGAAGAACCUUACCAGGGUUUGACAUCCUGCGAAUCCCUUGGAAACGAGGGAGUGCCUUCGGGAACGCAGUGACAGGUGGUGCAUGGCUGUCGUCAGCUCGUGUCGUGAGAUGUUGGGUUAAGUCCCGCAACGAGCGCAACCCACGUCUUUAGUUGCCAGCAUUCAGUUGGGCACUCUAGAGAGACCGCCGGUGAUAAACCGGAGGAAGGUGUGGAUGACGUCAAGUCAUCAUGCCCCUUACAUCCUGGGCUACACACGUACUACAAUGCUACGGACAAAGGGCAGCAAACUCGCGAGAGCUAGCAAAUCCCAUAAACCGUGGCUCAGUUCAGAUCGUAGGCUGCAACUCGCCUACGUGAAGGAGGAAUCGCUAGUAAUCGCAGGUCAGCAUACUGCGGUGAAUACGUUCCCGGGCCUUGUACACACCGCCCGUCACACCAUGGAAGUUGGCCAUGCCCGAAGUCGUUACUCCAACCCGCAAGGGAGGAGGACGCCGAAGGUGGGGCUGAUGACUGGGGUGAAGUCGUAACAAGGUAGCCGUACCGGAAGGUGCGGCUGGAUCACCUCCU